rnacentral:rRNA from 1 species
GGGAUUAGUGGCGAACGGGUGAGUAACACGUGAGUAACCUGCCCUUGACUCUGGGAUAACCCUGGGAAACCGGGUCUAAUACCGGAUACGACCUGUCACCGCAUGGUGGUGGGUGGAAAGAUUUUUUGGUUUUGGAUGGACUCGCGGCCUAUCAGCUUGUUGGUGAGGUAAUGGCUCACCAAGGCGACGACGGGUAGCCGGCCUGAGAGGGUGACCGGCCACACUGGGACUGAGACACGGCCCAGACUCCUACGGGAGGCAGCAGUGGGGAAUAUUGCACAAUGGGCGAAAGCCUGAUGCAGCGACGCCGCGUGAGGGAUG